rnacentral:rRNA from 1 species
UAAUACGUAGGGUGCAAGCGUUAAUCGGAAUUACUGGGCGUAAAGCGUGCGCAGGCGGUCCGUUAAGACAGAUGUGAAAUCCCCGGGCUUAACCUGGGAACUGCAUUUGUGACUGGCGGACUCGAGUAUGGCAGAGGGGGGUAGAAUUCCACGUGUAGCAGUGAAAUGCGUAGAGAUGUGGAGGAAUACCGAUGGCGAAGGCAGCCCCCUGGGCCAAUACUGACGCUCAUGCACGAAAGCGUGGGGAGCAAACAGGAUUAGAUACCCUGGUAGUCCACGCCCUAAACGAUGUCAACUGGUUGUCGGGCCUUCAUUGGCUUGGUAACGUAGCUAACGCGUGAAGUUGACCGCCUGGGGAGUACGGUCGCAAGAUUA